GUUUAGUAAGAAGAUAACUGUCCCAAGACAAACAUUCUCAUGGAUACAUUAGAGUAUUUUAAAUGGUAUAUUACUACAGUAAGGAAUGGAAGGACAAUUUCAGUUUGACUCUGGUGGUCGUGUCUCCAUUCUGAAGAGAUCGACCCUUGUGUAUUUUAUGCUGGAAUUCAGCACAGAGAAGACCAUAACUGUGAGCAGUCCAGCAGGUUGGAGCUGGCUCUGCUGAGAGAUUAAUGCAAAUAAAUGCUCUAGUUCUCCCUGGUCAAGCUUUUUACACUUCAUCUGUUUGCACUGAAUACAAUGGCUAAAAAAAUAGACAGCUUUCUGGAUUCCUCUUCCUUCUUUCUUGUGAAAUGGAAGACAAUCACAAGACAACCUCUAAUGGAGUCUCUGCUGAAUCCUGCCAUCAAGAGGACACUGAUUUCUGACUUCCAAAGCUCCCUCUUGAAGACUUUCUUACAUUAAAUAAUAUUUCGAGGAAAACUAGCUUUUGAAUGUCACAGUGUUGCUUAUUAGUGGUUGGUAGGUGUCAAUGUGCUAAUAGACACAAAGACUUCAUAAAAAAAAAUAAAAUCAAUAAAUCUCAGUAGCAAAGAGAAAGUUUUGCUGUUUGCAUUAUUCUGGCUGCAGCACAGUGGAUCUGAGGAACCCAGGUGUGGGAGAGAGAAAUGGUGCUUUCAACAAGGAAUACUGGUGGGAGAAAAGGGAGGGACAGGAAUAGUGUCUGCAAAGAAAAUAUAACAAGAAGAGAGCUUUUAGCUCAGCCAGGAUCACACAGAACACGGAGAGGAUGCAAAGGCAGACCACAGAACUGAUUAAAGAAAGAAUUCUUUCAGUUCUUCUAAGUGAAGUGUAAAAGAUGUUUUAGAACCAGAAAGCCAUUGAAAAGUCAUUUCAUUGACAUCCCAAAGGAGAAGACCCAUCUUGAACAGGUGUGCUGCAAAGCAGAUUAUACUAACACAGGAAAAGAGUUUUAGUAAUUUAUAUACAUUAUCCUACAGCCAGAUUAUAAGCAUUUGAAUGUGCUGACCACAAAGCAAACCCAUCAAAUAUUUAAAGGAAGAUGCCAGCAAGAAAUGUGAUUUAUAGCGGACCUUGAAUGUGAAUAAGUUU